AUAUACUCUAAUGUCAGAAGGUAAGCUUGUCCCUUCGGGGACAUCCGAUAAAAUUGGAACGAUACAGAGAAGAUUAGCAUGGCCCCUGCGCAAGGAUGACACGCACAAAUCGAGAAAUGGUCCAAAUUUUUUUGACAAUUCUAUCCUGUUUUUCCUUACGAUUGAGUUUUGGUCAUCUGAAGAUUUCAUCUUCUCAAGCUUCAGCUUUUAUUCAUUUUCGUAUCUCAGUGAUUUCACUUCUGCUAUGUUUUUUGAUAUCUUAAAAAGAAAAUGCAUAUGAAAAUGUUGCAUACCAGGCGUUUGAUGAUAAUUCCCAAAGAAACUAAAUUAUUUUUUGGAUUUGGAAUUUAAUUUUAAAUUGUGGGUACAUAUUGUAUUUUUGCUGCAGUGGUUUUCCUCUUGUGCUGUUGAGCCAAUAUGAUGGCGUUGAAGUCUUUUGCUUAAACUAUUGAGGUAAGUUUUUUGAAAGACUCGGAAUAUUUUCGUGUCCAAAAUUUUAUGUUGCUUUUAUUACAAUAAGUUCACUGAGGAGAUUCAUAGUUUUACUUUUAUGUGUCGAGUGUUUAUAUGUUUAGACAUCUUCAAUGAGAAGAAUACUGUCCCUACCUCUGUAGAGGUUGAGUUGAUUAAAGUGCUAGUCUCUAAGUUUUGUCUCACUCAAAUGGGUUCCACAGUAAACAAUUUGGUAAUUAUGUGGAAAAAUGAAUGCAUUCAAAGGGGUUAUUUUUCUCCUCUGCACCUUUUCAUUCUUUGUUUUUAUUGUCUUUCUUCUUAUGUGUGUCUCAGUUAAUGCCAUUACUUCCACUUAGGCUUUCUGUGUGAGUUGUAGACUUGUAGCUGCGUUGGUUGCUAGAAAUGUAAAAGGGGGCUAAGGAUUAGACAGAUCAGAUUGAGAGGGUUUUCCUUUUCCUGAACAGUGGUGAAAAGCAUGUCAUCAGAGUAUGAGAAUCCGAUGCUACUCUCUAUCUGUGUCGAAACUAAUAUUAGUUGAGGUUUAGACUCCUUUCCUUUCCUUUCAUUCAUUAUUAUUGGCAUGGUAUGCUUCAUUUUUAAAUAACAAACAUUUACAUGGACUACUAGACGGAUACGUUAUAUCCUAUAUAUGAGCACUCACUUUUUGGUUGACACCAUUUCUUAUUACAUGCCCACAAUUACGAGACUAGAGAUGCUUUUCAUUGGAUUUCUUCUUCAACUUUUGGUCUCAUACGUUCUCUAAAAUGGGUGCUGCAAUGAAGCAUCUGUAGUCUUUGAUGAAGCAGCUGCUCGUUGCUUUCAGAAGCAAUAGAUACAUCAUGGUUUAGCUUCCCAAACUCUGCUUCUAUCAAACGAGGAUUGCAAGGCAAUAGCAUAAGAGAUAUCCCUUGAAUUUUUUUAUAAUACCACUGUUAUAGAAGGAGCUUCUCCAAAGUCUCUAACUGGCAGCUCUUCUAAUGGCCACACAGGUGGGAAGAUUUUGAAGGCUGAAGAGUUCCUUGAGACCAUAAUCAAAGCUCCUGAGGAAGUAUGGACAUGAUUUUGAUUGACGGAAUGACAGUUGAUAAAGGCGAAAUUUCACCUGAUGAACUCUAUGCAGUCAUUAAGAAAAGAAUUGAACGGACUUUGAUUCGUACAGCGAGCACUACUUGGACUAUUAUAUCUCCGGUUAUUCCUUAAUCAUUUUUCUUUCUUUUUCGUUUAAUGUCGACCUUAAAUUCUUCGUUAUGGCUCUCUCAGGAGGGUGGUUCUUACCAGCAGAGAAUUCUUACCAAUUAUAUCAAGGGCAUUCAAUCAAGAGCCGAGGAGAUUGUCCAAGUGCUUUGGGGCAAUCCACAAUAGUAGUUAGUACCUUUGAAAAAGAAAAAAGAAAAUGGAUGAUUCAUAAAGCAUUUUUGAGAUGUGAAAUACCAAUCUGUCUCAUUCUCUGAUUUAUAUUUUCAAACUGAAGAAAAGAGCAUCUUGGAGUAUUGAAUUCCAUGUAUUUAUCUUUCUGUAGAGGUCUCUUGCUAUGGCCUUCCUAUUCUUAUUUGAAACAUUGUUUAUAUAGCUUCAAAACCUUUGUAUGCAUGCAUUUUUCUUUUUUCUUUU